GACGAACGCUGGCGGCGUGCCUAAUACAUGCAAGUCGGACGCUGAAGGAGGAGCUUGCUUCUCUGGAUGAGUUGCGAACGGGUGAGUAACGCGUAGGUAACCUGCCUUGUAGCGUGGGAUAACUAUUGGAAACGGUAGCUAAUACCGCAUAAUAGUAGAUGUUGCAUGACAUUUGCUUAAAAGUUUCAAUUGCAUGACUACCAGACGGGCCUGCGUUGUAUUUGCUAGUUGGUGGGGUUACGGCUCACCAAGGCGAGGAUACAUAGCAGAACUUAGAGGGGGGGUGGCCACACUGGGACUGAGACACGGCCCAGAGUCAUACGGGAGGCAGCAGUAGGGCAUCGUGGGCAAUGGGCGGGAGACUGACCGAGCUAGGCCGAGUGCGUGAAGAAGGUUGUCGGAUCGUAGAGCUCGGUUGUAAGGGAAGAACGAGUGUGAGAGUGGAAAGUUCACAGUGUGACGGUAUUUUACCAGAAAGGGACGGCUAACUACGUG
rnacentral:rRNA from 1 species